GAUGAACGCUGGCGGCGUGCUUAACACAUGCAAGUCGAACGAUGACUUUUGUGCUUGCACAAAAUGAUUAGUGGCGAACGGGUGAGUAACACGUGAGUAACCUGCCCUUGACUCUGGGAUAAGCCUGGGAAACUGGGUCUAAUACUGGAUAUGCACCGUGAACCGCAUGGUUUUUGGUGGAAAGAUUUAUUGGUCAAGGAUGGACUCGCGGCCUAUCAGCUUGUUGGUGAGGUAAUGGCUCACCAAGGCGACGACGGGUAGCCGGCCUGAGAGGGUGACCGGCCACACUGGGACUGAGACACGGCCCAG
rnacentral:rRNA from 1 species